AAAAUUAGCGGAUGACCUGUGGCUGGGGGUGAAAGGCCAAUCAAACCGGGAGAUAGCUGGUUCUCCCCGAAAGCUAUUUAGGUAGCGCCUCGUGAAUUCAUCUCCGGGGGUAGAGCACUGUUUCGGCUAGGGGGCCAUCCCGGCUUACCAACCCGAUGCAAACUGCGAAUACCGGAGAAUGUUAUCACGGGAGACACACGGCGGGUGCUAACGUCCGUCGUGAAGAGGGAAACAACCCAGACCGCCAGCUAAGGUCCCAAAGUCAUGGUUAAGUGGGAAACGAUGUGGGAAGGCCCAGACAGCCAGGAUGUUGGCUU
rnacentral:rRNA from 1 species